AGCCAUAGACGGCUCUGCUCCUGGCACAAAGGAGGGCUUCUUAGCCGGGAAUAUGGCUGCCCGGGAGGGGCGACUUCUGUGCUUGUUUUUCCUUCCUGGCACUGACAACAAGCACAUCCACCCAACAAAUAAAGACGCGGUCAAUGAAAGCAGCUGUGUUUCAAGAGACAGGGAGCAAGCCAAGGAAUAAAUGAAAAGACCCAGUGACAAAAUGCCCAUUCAUCGGGUUCACUCGGCAAACAUUUACUGAAGCAUCUGUGUGCCAGGCACUGUCCUGAGUGCUGGGAAGACACAAAGAUGCCCUUGAGAACGAUGACCCCCGUCUCGCCCUCCGCUGGAACCGGGAGGCAGACACACACAUAAAUACGACACAGUCAACCAUCCCCAGUUCACAGCAUCUCAAGGAGCCAGGAAUGCAUGGGAUGCUUAUGGAAUGUGCGAGAACACGGAGACAAAGUCUCACUAUGUUCCCAGGCUGAUCCCCAACUCCUGAGCUCAAGCCAGCCACCAGCCUCGGCCUCCCAAAGUGCUGGGAUUACAGGCGUGAGCCACCACGCCGGGCCCAGAUGAACAGACUUCAUGGCUGAGACAGAGCUGAGAGCAGAGAAAACAGGCUCAUAAAAUCCUGGCAGAAUCUUUCCAUUCCAAUAGGUAGGUUGGGGUGUGGUGGCUCAUGCCUAUAAUCCUAGCCCUUUGGGAGGCUGAGGCAGGAGGACCACCUGAGCUCAGGAGUUCAAGACCAGCCUGGGCAACAUAGUGAGACCCUGUCCCUACAAAAAAUAAUUAAAAAAAAAUUGGCCAGGCAUCAUGGCAUGCACCUGUAGUCCCAGCUGUUCAGAAGGCUGAGGUGGGAGGAUCACUUGAGGCCAGCAGGUUGAGGCUGCAGUGAGCUGAGAUGGCGUCACUGUGGGCAACAGUGGGAGACCCUAUCUCAAAAAGCAAACAAACAAACUCUAAUUGCUGUUUAAGUUAAAUGAUCUACAAUCUGGCUUUAUGCUAGGGUAAACUGUCUUCUCACAGCUGGAAAUGAAAAUUCCCUAUAGUAGUUGGAGGGCUCCCGACCCCCAGCCUCCCAACCUACCCCACUCCAACUUUGUCUAUGCCCUGCCAUGAACACUUUUCUAGAAGAGACCCCUUCUGCCGCCCCACGUUUGCCACAGUGGGCUCCUCAAAGUGCUCAUCCAGGAGACUGAAGAUUCCAAGUUUCCAACCCAGAGACUGGAGCCAACAGAAUCCCUUUUCCAGGACUUAGCAUUUGGGACUCACAGAGAUUUCCUCUCCCUCAGUGGGCGACUGGGCUAUAGCAGUGGGCUUCAAAGUGAAGCUAGCAGACUGGGGACAUGAAGACAUUGGAGGGGUGCAGAGUCAUGAAAAGCUGUCAAGGAUUGGUUUCUAGAUCUAAAAUUGACACCUGUAGUCUUUCCUAUACAGACAUGCUCUACUGGCGAGUGUUCUGGUUCUGAGAGCUUGUCUUUCUUUAUCAACUGCCCUUUGAAGCUCAAGCUUCCCCUAUUGCACAGAAGAAAUGCAAGCCUCUUCCCUUCUGGAAUCGCACCAUGGGCACUACUCCAGAGAGUGGAAACUCUCUGACACCAAACAAGGGACAAUUCAAGAAUAAAUGGCACCUGAGUCCCAGGAGGGCAAAGCAGAGUGAGAAAAGAAUUAGUGAGUGAUGUGGAAAGGACAACAUCCUUUCAUCCCAGAGUCAAAGCCCCGGCAAGCCUCCAGGCCUCAGCGCUCCCUCUGUCUUACAGCACAAAAACACCUUUUGUGGAUGGGAAAGGACUCAGGACGUGAUCAGACUGGCCUGCUGAGAGUAUCAUAGGGAAGUGCUGGAUGGGUUCAUGGAAAGAAGUAUACACAGAUGAGGAACAGCAGAAAGGCAUGGUAGGUGGAAAUCACUGGAAAAAGUAGAAAUCAUCAUCAGUUAUUAACAAAGAAUUGAGUUGAAUUAUGUGUAGAAACAUAGAGGGGUGAUAGUAUUGAAUUUUACAUUCACUUAUUAUGGCAAUAUAGUUUAAGGUGACAAUUUUUCAAAAGGAGGGACAACGCAAACAUCUCAUACACAUAAGAAGGAGAAAGGGUCAGUCGUGGUGGCUCACACCUGCAAUCCCAGUACUUUGGGAGGCCGAGGCGGGUGGAUGAUCUGAGUUCAGGAGUUCGAGACCAGCCUGGCCAAUAUGGUGAAACCCCAUCUCGACUAAAUACAAAAAAAUUAGCUGGGAGUGGUGGCACAUGCCUGUAAUCUGUAAUCCCAGGUACUUGGAGGACUGAGGCAGGAGAAUUGCUUGAACCCGGGAGGCAGAGGUUGCAGUGAGCCAAGAUUGCGCCAUUGCACUCCAGCCUGGGCAAUGAGAGGGAAACUUGAUCAAAAAAAAAAAAAAAGGAGAAAGAUUGCAGAGGCAUCUCCAAGGCAGAAGACAGGCCUGGGGGUCAGGCAGAAGUGACGACAGCUAUGUGCAGCUUGCUGGUUACACGCAUGCACACACACACACCCAUAUACUGAAUCACCUGCCAAAGGCACAGAAAUGGGCCCACAACUACCCUUGGUCUUACUUGGUCUUUUCUGGAGUACUUUCAGUGGUUAGGCUAAUCACACUUGAGAAUAAUUAUUGAUCAACCCAAAUGCCCAUCAAUGAUAGACUAGAUAAAGAAAAUGUGGAAUUUAUACAGCGUGGAAUACCAUGCAGCCAUAAAAAAGAAUGAGUUCAUGUCAUUUCCAGGGACAUGGAUGAAGCUGGAAACCAUCAUUCUCAGCAAACUAACACAGGAACAGAAAACCGAACACCACAUGUUCUCACUCAUAAGUGGGAGCUGAACGAUGAGAACACAUGGACACAGGGAGGGGAACAUCACACGGGGCCUGUUGGGGUGGGGGGCAAGGGGAGGGAGAGCAUUAAGACAAAUACCUAAUGCAUGUGGGGCUUAAAACCUAGAUGACAGGUUGAUAGGCGCAGCAAACCACCAUGGCACAUGUAUACUUAUGUAAUAAACCUGCAUGUCCAGCACAUGUAUCCCAGAACUUACAGUAAAAUAAAAAUAAAAAAUAAUUUUUGGAGAAACUAGAUAGAUUCAAGAAAUGGAGGAGGGAAGAGAAGGAAGGAGAGGCAAAGCAAAGAAAGAAAGUCAAGUAAGUGAGCACCCAGAGAACAAGCAGCAAGGUGAAGGAGCAACACCCAUGUCCUAGAGAUAGAAGAUUUACAAAGUCUGUGACCACUUAUUUUAAAUAUUUGAGAACCUGAACACUGGAAGAUAAUAUUGGGGUUGGGAAACUGAGGCAUGAAGUAACUUAAAAGGAAAAUAUUUUGGCCGUGUGUGGUGGCUCACGCCUGUAAUCCCAGCACUUUCGGAGGCCGAGGCGGGUGGAUCAUGAGGUCAGGAGACUGAGACCAUCCUGGAUAACACGGUGAAACCCCGUCUCUACUAAAAAUACAAAAAAAUUAGCCGGGCGCGGUGGCAGGUGCCUGCAGUCCCAGCUACUCCAGAGGCUGAGGCAGGAGAAUGGCAUGAACCCGGAAGGCAGAGCUUGCAGUGAGCCGAGAUCAGCCACUGCACUCCAGCCUGGGUGAAAGAGCCAGACUGUCUCAAAAAAAAAAAAAAAGAAAAUAUUUCCCCCAAAAUGACACUUAUAUAUCAAAGAAAGAAAAUGAUUUAAAACAAAGGCAGGGUGGUGGUGGUGUGGAGGACAUCAGAUAUCUGAAAUCUGGAAUGUGACAGUUAUGGAGCUUGGACCUGUGAAGACAAUGAGAAUAAGAUGAGGGCAUCCAGGGCUUACCAUCUGACACGAGGAGGUGCGAUGUGAUGAGCAAGGCCACACGUGGCAGCGGCCUAUCCCAUCUCGUCUCACAGCUCCCGAGUGUUGGGGGAAAGGAGGAAGCAUGUUAUUAUUCUCGUUUACAGAUGCGAGGCAGGGACAGGCUGGGCAUUGUGUCCAAGGCCUCUUAGCUCAAGUCUGCAAAAGGCAGAGGAAGCAAAUUUGAGUGGGCAACUCCUCUUCUGAGUGAAUUAAGCUGCCUCCUGCUGCCUUCUAAAAUCAAAUUGUUGUUGUAAAAACAGUGACCUGCCAAGAGGGCCUGCCAUCCAAACCUCCCCCCGGCUAACUUGACAAUGGACCUGUAAGUUUGGGAAAAUAAGUUCACCUUCGUCCUUCUGUGCAGUAUUUCUGCAGUGGGAUGACACAUGGAGGAGGGCCCGGGGGGUAAAAUUCAUUUUGCAUCGAAGCUUCAGUUUUUCCUGGCUAUAGCUAUGGUAUAAAGGAGAAAUUUUUGGUGGUUGUUACAGGUGGCUAGCACUGUUUAGUUUGUGUUUUCCAACACAAUUUGGCUUUUGAUUUAGAGAUCACCUUGGUGAGGAUCCUACAAUGACUAAAGACAUGGGUUUUUAGGCUGAGAGUUUGUUUGUUUGUUUGUUUGUUUUUCCCCCAGUAUCAGUUACUUAGUUUCCUGUGCCAGGUAAUCUACAAUCAUUCAGAGAGAGAAAGAGAGAACAAAAAAGGGCGAUGAAGGGAAGUCAGGUCAGGGAUGGAACAGUGUCAUUAUUGAAAGUGUCAGUGUGACUCAAAUAACCUUGAUGGCACUUGGUCUAAUAAGCUGUCACAGACUUUUCAUUACACUGUCAUCAAAGUCAUCUGCAGCCUUUAAUUACUCAGUCUCACCACACUCUAUUUAACAGAGAAAAGAGGAAGGUAUGGAAAAGAGUGAAAUUGGCAUAAAAAAUCCAAUAAAGGGCAACGAGGAGGAAGCAACAAAAACGUGGGAAACUGCUGACCUGAGGAAUCGUGCUCUUCUAACUUUACAGCUUCACCUGCCGUGUUUGCUCCUGGAGGACUGAGACUUUUGUCUGAUUCGUCUGCUGCUGUCUUCCCGAUGCCUAGAACACUGCCUGAUGCACGGGAAGUAUUUGUCAGAUACAUCCCAUGGCUUCUAAUGCCAUUUGCAAGGAUGAAACCUGGGUGUGCCCGGCUGUACGGCAAUACUUCCAAAGGCCUGUAGGACUCCCCAGUGACUGUCCCAUUCACCAGGAGGAGGACUGCAGCCACCUGCAUUGUCCUGGGAAGGUCAGCCAGGCCUUUUCCCAAUGUCUGUCUGGGAAAAGCCCCGGUGUAGUCUGCUCGGUUCUACACCCAGAAUCACGGGGGCUUCAGGAGCAGGCAUUACGAAGCAAGGAGUAGCUUCUCCCCCUCACCUCCCACUCAGCAGAACGCACUAGCCCUGUGCUCUUCUGAUCCUGAAGGCAGCUGAGUCUGAAAAGUUCCUGUACCUUUAAAGGUACUAGAGGCAGUGUGGUGCCCACUCAGGAACUGCAUGAUUUAAAUAGGUUUCUAGGAUAAAGGCAACUCGUAGCACAAAGGAACAAGUCCCAGGGAGUGGCAUUCCAGAUCAUUUGAUUCCUGAGCGAAGUAAUUAUUAUGGUGUGGAGGUGGGGACCUCCUUACUACAUUCCAAAUUGCAAUAAGGUUGUAAGGGUUUUUUCUUCCAUUCUGAAGUACUUUGACAAUAGUUUUGGACUUCAAAAAUGUUUAUUAAAGGUGUUUUCACAGCA